rnacentral:rRNA from 1 species
UCUGGUUGAUUCUGCCAGUAGUCAUAUGCUUGUUUCAAGGACUAAGCCAUGCAUGCCUCAGAAUAACUGCACUGCAGGAGUCUGCGCAUGGCUCAUUACAUCAGACGCAAUUUGCCGCAAAAAUGUUGCGGAAACGCAUUAUUGGAUACCUUGUGCGAAACGCCAAGCUAAUACAUGAACUAAGGGGAUCGUCGCGUUCCAUACGCCGUAGGCUUGCCGAAAGCGUAGUCGACGACUCUGCAGAUGAAUGAAAGUACAAACCAAUGCUCUUUACGGAGCAGUAAUACGGAGAAGUGCUGAAUCAAUUCAUCUUUGCGUAAGCUGGCUUAGCCAGCGUCUUUUGACGAACAACUGCCCUAUCAGCCAGUGAUGGCCGUGUAGUGGACUGCCAUGGCGUUGACGGGAGCGGGGGAUUAGGGUUCGAUUCCGGAGAGGGAGCCUGAGAAAUGGCUACCACUUCUACGGAGGGCAGCAGGCGCGCAAAUUGCCCAAUGCCAAAACAAAUGAUGAGGCAGCGAAAAGAAAUAGGUGCCCCAAAUACCUCGUGUGUUUGGGGCUUUCAAUGGGGGAUAUUUAAAACCAUCCAACAUCGAGUAACAAUUGGAGGACAAGUCUGGUGCCAGCACCCGCGGUAAUUCCAGCUCCAAGAGCGUAUAUUAACGCUGUUGCUGUUAAAGGGUUCGUAGUUGAACUGUGGAUUGUGACGCCGAGGUCAAACCCUUUUCCCACGGUCUAGGGAAGCCUCGAUCACUAUCCGAGAACGUCAGAAACUAAGAUCACGGAAGCGUUUUUUACAUAUGGCCACCAUUUACGCGAGCAAUGUUCGUUGGUGGACGUCCGUGUUCAUUACUGUGACUAAAGAAGUGCGACCAAAGCAGUCCAUCGACAUGAAUUAGAAAGCAUGGGAUAACAAAGCAGCAGCCUAUGAGCUACCGUUCAGGCUUUUGUUGGUUUUAAAGGUUCGUGGGAGAUUACGGGCAGGCAGGACCGGCGUUGUGGAGCUUUAAUCGGUUCCCUCGUCUCCCCCUGGUAUCGGAAACGGUGCUUGCGGGGCCUGUUUGACUCAGGAAUGAAGGAGGGUUGCUCGGGGGGAAACGUACUUGGGCGUGAGAGGUGAAAUUCUUAGACCGCCCAAAGACGAACUACAGCGAAGGCAUUUUCCAAGGAUACCUUCCUCAAUCAAGAACCAAAGUGUGGGGAUCGAAGAUGAUUAGAGACCAUUGUAGUCCACACCACAAACGAUGACCCCCAUGAAUUGGGGAGUUUUUGUGGAGGCAUCUCCCGGCUCGUCCGGGUGGAUGUCCCGCAAUAAAGUAUUCAACCUACGUGCACGUUCUAUCCAGCAGGGAGGAAACUCUCUGCCUUGACGGGAACAUCCUCAGCACGUUCUCUUACUGUUUCACGCGAAAGCUUUGAGGUUACAGUCUCAGGGGGGAGUACGUUCGCAAGAGUGAAACUUAAAGAAAUUGACGGAAUGGCACCACAAGAUGUGGAGCU